rnacentral:rRNA from 1 species
CGAAGGAUGCAAGCGUUAUCCGGAUUCAUUGGUUUAAAGGGAGCGUAGGCGGCCUUAUAAGUCAGUGGUGAAAUCUUUGGGCUUACCCAAAAAUUGCCAUUGAUACUGUAGGGCUUGAGUACAGUUGCUGUGGCGGAAUAUGACAUGUAGUGGUGAAAUACAUAGAGAUGUCAUAGAACACCGAUUGCGAAGGCAGCUCACAAAACUGUAACUGACGCUGAGGCUCGAAAGUGCGGGGAUCAAACAGGAUUAGAUACCCUGGUAGUCCGCACUGUAAACGAUGAUUACUCGCUGCUGGAAGGUAACUUUCAGUGGCUUAGCGAAAGCGAUAAGUAAUCCACCGUGGGGAGUACGCCGGCAACGGUG